AGAGAUGGCGGGUGAUCUGUCUGUGACAUCUGUCACCCCACUGACUGCCAGGGUUGAUUCCACUGAUCUGGAUGGUUAGGCAAUGUCCCCUUCCUCCCUCACCACUCCAUGGGAAUCCUUCCCAAAGCUGUGCACUUGGGAAGCCUGGGGCCUUCAAGCCCAAUUGUCCAAGUAUCCUGACAGUCCCCAACCCUCCUGGAAUAACCAGUUGUGGAGGACUUUGGGGAUGUCCAAGGCCCCCUGCUCCUCCUGGGUGUAAUUUCUGCUGGAAAGUGGGAGAGCCUGGGAGCAACAGGCUUGGAUAGUGUCCUGGAAUGUGCCCAGAGCCGUGCAGC
rnacentral:snRNA from 1 species